AUUACAAGAAAUCAGAAACUGGCAAAUCAAUUUUGCAGUCAAGACCGUUGGAUUUCAAUGCCCUCCCAAUUAGUUUGGAUGUUAGCUGCCAACAGGUCAAAUCUUCCCCUUGCACUGGCAACAGUUUUUUGAAUAUAUGUGCUAAACUUUUUUCACUCAAGUUUUUAAUUAUAAUCCACAUUGAAUUGCUGCAUACUGCUACAUCAUUAGCUACAAAAAAACAGAAAGAUGGACAUUUGGUUAAGUAGUCAAAAGUCAAAACAAGCAAGGAAUCUAGAAGGGGAAGAAGGGGGAAAGAGGAAUUACAAAGUUGUGUGAACAGCAUGCAGAGCUUGCCCAGGUCCAGCAAUAAAGGACCAACAUUUUCAUCAGUAAAGAUCAGAGCUGAUACACGGCGCAACACAGAGAGAUUAAAGCUUUAAAGGUUAGGAGACCGUAAAUUAUUAUGCAUGUUGAUGGUGAAAAGAAUUCCCUUGCCAAUCAUGUGGACUGUAAACCAGGAGCUUCAAGAACACUGUGAUCUGAGUCAGAUAUUCGUUUUUCGAUUAUUAUUCACCGUACAGGAGAAGUCAACUUGCUGCACUUUCAAGGUGUUGAAAGUUGAAACGUGAUUUUGGCUUUGGUUUUGCCAAAAUGUAGGUUUGAAACCAUCCAAACAUGUUUCCAAACACUCUUUUGGGGGAUAGGUUCCAUAGCACAUGUAUAACCUUCACAAUAGUUUAGUUUCAAACUGGACGAAUGCACUAAGCCCUAUCAGCAA